GGCAGCAGUAAGGAAUAUUGGUCAAUGGACGCAAGUCUGACCCAGCCAUGCCGCGUGCAGGAAGAAGGCCUUCUAGGUUGUAAAUUGCUUUUGGAAGGGGACAAAACGGGCAUGCGUGCCAACUUGAGUGUACCUUCAGACUAAGCACCGGCUAACUCCGUGCCAGCAGCCGCGGUAAUACGGAGGGUGCAAGCGUUGUCCGGAUUUAUUGGGUUUAAAGGGUGCGUAGGCGGCUUAUUAAGUCAGGGGUGAAAGACUGCAGCUCAACUGUAGCAGUGCCUUUGAUACUGAUGAGCUUGAGUACAGAUGAGGCAGGCGGAAUGGGUGGUGUAGCGGUGAAAUGCAUAGAUACCAUCCAGAACACCGAUUGCGAAGGCAGCCUGCUAAACUGUAACUGACGCUGAGGCACGAAAGCGUGGGGAUCGAACAGGAUUAGAUACCCUGGUAGUCCACGCUGUAAACGAUGAUUACUCGAUGUUAGCGAUAAACUGUUAGCGUCCAAGGGAAACCGAUAAGUAAUCCACCUGGGGAGUACGCCCGCAAGGGUGAAACUCAAAGGAAU
rnacentral:rRNA from 1 species